rnacentral:rRNA from 1 species
CGUAGGGUGCAAGCGUUAAUCGGAAUUACUGGGCGUAAAGCGUGCGCAGGCGGUGAUGUAAGACAGAUGUGAAAUCCCCGGGCUCAACCUGGGAACUGCAUUUGUGACUGCAUUGCUGGAGUGCGGCAGAGGGGAUGGAAUUCCGCGUGUAGCAGUGAAAUGCGUAGAUAUGCGGAGGAACACCGAUGGCGAAGGCGAUCCCCUGGGCCUGCACUGACGCUCAUGCACGAAAGCGUGGGGAGCAAACAGGAUUAGAUACCCUGGUAGUCCACGCCCUAAACGAUGUCAACUGGUUGUUGGUCCUUUGCUGGAUCAGUAACGAAGCUAACGCGUGAAGUUGACCGCCUGGGGAGUACGGCCGCAAGGUUG